AUUUUGAGUAUUUACUGAUAUUGUAAUAUAUUUUUUAAGAGGUCAAAUGAUUGUCCUGGACUAGCAUUAUCUUAAUAUCCUUUCAUAUUUUUCAUUGUUUUGAUCCCUAUGCAGCUCAAUUUAGGAGAUAUUAAGUCUUUAAAACGUUUAUUAAAUUGGAAUUUUCUAAAGAUUGUUUCAUGAUAUGAAUAAUGGUUUUUCUGUGUGCUGUUUGUUUUGAGUCAAACAGUGAUCUGAU
rnacentral:misc_RNA from 1 species